GCGGAUGUAGCCAAGUGGAUCAAGGCAGUGGAUUGUGAAUUCACCAUGCGCGGGUUCAAUUCCCGUCGUUCGCC
rnacentral:tRNA from 20 species